UGUUGGUAGGAGGCUCUGGAGAUAAGGCCUGUACCAGGUGGGAGUGGAAGGCGGGCCCCCAAGACUGCAGAGUCGAUGAAAAACCACCCGAAGAAGUAUGUGCAUGGUCCAGAACACGGGCUCUGGAGUUCCUGUGUGACUUUGGACGAGUUGAUCACCUUAAACCUCUACUGCUCAUUUGUGAAGAAGAGAGAAUUAGCAACACCUGUCCAAGGAUUUCGAGGAUUCGCAACAAUCCACGUGAGCCACUUAGUCUAUAGGAAGAGCUCUAUAAACAUUGGUUAUGAUUCUCUUCCCCCCUCAGAAAAUCCCUUCUUAACCUCUGUCAUAGGGUUCAACAAGGGUGCACAGAGACCCAAGAGUGUGGAAGAGGAAGCCAUAGAGUGAUGGAAUAAAUAACUGGUUUCCUUGAAAAUGAAUGACAAAGUCAUUUGGUACAUUUUCCCUCCUUUUUUUAGCACUAAGUUC
rnacentral:lncRNA from 1 species